CAAAAGAGACCAAUAAAAAAUUGUCGCAAGGUCGUCUAAUUUUCUUUUUAAUAAGAUUUUAUGCGUGAAAAAGGGGAAAUUCAUUUUUUUUUCUUGGCUCUCCAAAAUUAUUUCUUUUUUGUUUCUUCUAUAAAUCUUUCUGCCUGAAUCACCGAAUUAUGAUAACAGUGGUGUCAAAAUAAGAAACAAUAUUAAACAAUUUUUUUCUCAUCGUUUCUUUUAAUCAUUGUUUACUGCAAAUUAUCUACUCCACAGCAUUCUAAUGUGAAUGUCCUUCCAAGCAAACGAACGCAAUAUUUUUUCAAUGAAAUUUGGCUUUCACUACACGGGCAGGCAAGCGGGCAUACAAAACAACAUUGAAAUCAAUGUCAAAAAUGCAAGUGCACACAAAAGUAAAUGUAAUUCCGAUUUCCGAUAGAACCCACCAAAAAUUGAGAGUCAAAAAGUACAGCGAAAUUUGCCAUUACCAACAAAUAGAGACAAAAAAAGAAUUACGUUUCGUAUUUCUUUCAUGUGACGAAUAAAUGUUAAGUAAACAAAUAAACGCAGAAACAAGCCAUUUGUCAACAAACUUCCCUUAUGUAUACAUGCACACUCACACUUACUCACUUUCAGAACGGGGGAAAAACGGAAUUGUUACAAGUCAAUGUGUUCAAAAAAUACACUCCGAUUGAAGAUCUACAUCAAAAAAAUGCACUCAACAAAAGCAAAGUGUAUGUGUGCGUGUGUGUAUGUACACUCAGCAAGGAAAACAAAGCAAACGGCGUGAGAGAGAGAGCGACAUAUACAGAAAAUAACAUGGACACAAAGAGAGAGGCAAAUAUUAGUAUACUAUUCUCCUCGGCAUGAAAUAUAUUACAACAAUAACGUGGUUACCAACGACUCAAAUAUCUCCCUAUCUCUCUCUCCCAGUGUGCCAGCCAGCAGCACAAGCCACAUAACCUCUAAUACCCGAGUAAAAGAAGAACGAUGAAAGAACAUGCAAAAAUAUAUAAAAGAAAUAAAACUCAAGAAAAAAGAAUGUGAAAAUACAGAAAUCUAAUUAAAUU